rnacentral:rRNA from 1 species
GAUGAACGCUGGCGGCGUGCCUAACACAUGCAAGUCGAACGGAGUCCAGCCUUUAAGACCUUCGGGUCAAUGCGGGGAGGCCUGAGUGGCGGACGGGUGAGUAACACGUGGGCAACCUGGCUCAUAGAGGGGGAUAACAGAGAGAAAUUUCUGCUAAUACCGCAUAAGCACACACUGCCGCAUGGCAGGGGGUGAAAAGAGAAUCGCGAUGAGAUGGACCCGCGUCUGAUUCGCCAGUUGGCAGGGUAAGAGGCUACCAAAGCGACGAUCAGUAGCCGAUCAGAGAGGAUGAGCGGCCACAUUGGGAGUGAGACACGGCCCAAACUCCUACGGGAGGCAGCAGUGGGGGAUAUUGCACAAUGGGGGGAACCCUGAUGCAGCGACGCCGGGUGAGUGAAGAAGUAUUGCGGUAUGUAAAGCUCUAUCAGCAGGGAAGAUAAUGACAGUACCUGAAUAAGAAGCCCCGGCUAACUACGUG